rnacentral:rRNA from 1 species
UACAGAGGGUGCAAGCGUUGUUCGGAAUCAUUGGGCGUAAAGGGCGUGUAGGCGGUUUGUUAAGUCAUGUGUGAAAUCCCUCGGCUCAACCGGGGAACGACGCUUGAAACUGGCAAGCUAGAGUACCAAAGAGGGCGGUGGAAUUCCGGGUGUGAGUGGUGAAAUGCGUAGAAGAUCCGGAGGAACACCAGAGGCGAAGGCGGCCGGCUGGACCUGACCUGACGCUGAGGCACGAAGGCGUGGGGAGCGAACGG